UGAACCGUCUCGCUUAAUCUCCGAUAUUCGGAGAACGGGGGAACCGAUACAGGAAUAGCUGGCAAUCAUGCUGCGCUCCACUGUAUUUGAUUUCUUUUUGGGUCUUUGGGGUGAAUUUGAAGGCAGCCGCCAUGAGCGGGUGACUUGAGAUAGGGCGUCUCUCUUACGUCCGAACCCGACAGCUAACUCCGUAAGCGUAAGUAAGAGAGGCA
rnacentral:sRNA from 2 species